rnacentral:rRNA from 1 species
UACGUAGGGACCAAGCGUUGUUCGGAAUUACUGGGCGUAAAGCGCGCGCAGGCGGUCCUUUAAGUCGGGGGUGAAAGCCCAGAGCUCAACUCUGGAACUGCCUUCGAAACUAGAGGACUUGGGUACGGGAGAGGUGAGUGGAAUUCCGAGUGUAGAGGUGAAAUUCGUAGAUAUUCGGAAGAACACCAGUGGCGAAGGCGGCUCACUGGCCCGUUACCGACGCUCAGGCGCGACAGCGUGGGGAGCAAACAGG